GACGAACGCUGGCGGCGUGCCUAAUACAUGCAAGUUGAGCGAUGAAGAUUGGUGCUUGCACCAAUUUGAAGAGCAGCGAACGGGUGAGUAACGCGUGGGGAAUCUGCCUUUGAGCGGGGGACAACAUUUGGAAACGAAUGCUAAUACCGCAUAACAACUUUAAACAUAAGUUUUAAGUUUGAAAGAUGCAAUUGCAUCACUCAAAGAUGAUCCCGCGUUGUAUUAGCUAGUUGGUGAGGUAAAGGCUCACCAAGGCGAUGAUACAUAGCCGACCUGAGAGGAUGAUCGGCCACAUUGGGACUGAGACACGGCCCAAACUCAUACGGGAAGCAGCAGUAGGGAAUCUUCGGCAAUGGACGAAAGUCUGACCGAGCAACGCCGCGUGAGUGAAGAAGGUUUUCGGAUCGUAAAACUCUGUUGGUAGAGAAGAACGUUGGUGAGAGUGGAAAGCUCAUCAAGUGACGGUAACUACCCAGAAAGGGACGGCUAACUACGUG
rnacentral:rRNA from 1 species